UGUCACUGGGGCAUCUGUCGCUGGUGGCGGGAGAAGGGAGAGGGGGGGAUAAAAAAAUGGGGGUAAAAGCUGCGUGCUGACACGAAGCUUCCCCCCCCCCCCCUCUCACCCUGCGCACAGAGAUGCAGCGGCGGCCCCCGCAGACGUCACUCCCCCCUGUCACUCACUCGCCCCCCCCCCAGGCUGCUUCACGCUCACUCCCUGAAGCAUAGCAACCCCUCCAACAUCUGCCCCCCCCCCUCUCUUCCUCUCUCUGGUCACGUCCGAUCAGGCAGAGAGACUCCGAGUCUGAAGGUGUUUGCAGCUCCGAGGUGGAUUCUUCGAACCAGCUGGCUUUCGAUCUUCCCCGGAGAGAGAGUCAGGUGGAUCUGUUCGGGGUUCUGCAGCAGCAGAUGUGGCGUCAGAUGUUAAGCUAAAACCCGAACGCGUUACAGAGUCAACGAGACGGAUGAAGAACGUUGAAGAAACGUGGACGAGAAGCUCCUCCGGCCCCCAGAAGACAUCCAGGAGGAACUCGUCUCCUGGAGAGCAGCAGGUACCAGGUCCAGACGCAAAGGUCUGGACCUUCUCAGAGCUCCUGUGCUGAUGCCCCACACGCUGCUUUGUUCUAUUGGACCUUUUUCACGAUGAGCCGAAUAAAGGAACUGAACCAAUGAGGCUGAUAUGAAGCUAAAGAGUCUGAGCAACGUUUCUACGUCAGGAGAGAAAAGUGGUUUGAUUUGAUUCAUGACUUUAACAUAAAGAGCCAGAUGCCACCUUGAACUCCUUAAAAUGAAAUAAAACCAAAUUAAGCGCCAGAUUAAGAUUCAGAGGAUCAACGUUCUACAUUGAGGAGCAGAAAAGGGCGUUAAAAGAAUACAAAUUUCAGAAUGAAACCUCCUGUCCCUGAAAUAAAACGUAUGAAUCCUCUUUGCGGCGUUUUAUUUUAAAUGAAAAGGACAACAGGCUUUUGAUAGAAGCUGUCAAAUCAUUUACUGACACCACAACACAAACUUACAGUUUGACAUGUGUAUUUUAUAUCUUGACAUUACUGCAUCUUAACACGGAAGCAGUGAUUUUAUUAAUUCAUCACAGCAACGCAUCGUGUUUUAUGAUGUGGUUUUAGGUUUUGUGUGUCAAUCAUAAAAGUAUAUUUAGUUUUUUUGUGGAGUAAAGAGAGUGAAAUAGCAAAGAAGAGUACUGAACAGUGUGAUACAGGUGAUCUGAACGUGUAAAAUGUUUCAAAAGUGUCUAAAUAUGUUUUGGAAAAAACUGCCAUGGAAUAACAAGCCCGUCAGGUUGUCUAGAACAAGUAUUUUGGGGAUUGCUGAACAUCAUUGGGGUCGUGCACACAGCUUGUUCAUCAUUUUCACAUUCUGAAUAAGAUCAUAAUUCCAUCUCGACUGCUGGUUUCCUCUCAUAUUCACCGCACGGCUUCAUCGGCUACAAGCCUCCAUGUGGAUGUGGAGACGCAGCUCGCAGGCUGCAGGGGAUCGUUUACGUGUGUGUGCUCCUUUACGGCAGCGUGAGGGCAACACACACACACACACACACACACACACACACACACGCACACACACACACACACACUCUCCUCGUCUCCUUUCUUGCAUCGGUUCAUCCGCUGAGCAUAAUCUCAAUCUGAAAAAACAUUCCUCCUUUAAAAAAAGACAAAGAAACAAUUUUCGUGCCUCCACCAAAUAAAAUAAAUCAAAACCCAAUCAGAUUAAGUUUUAAAUGACGUCAUACUUUGGAUUGCGAUGGGUUUUUCAGAUUUAGAGGUGUUGAGGUGUUUUGUUUGCGAUUUAUUUAAUAUGACCCGGCUUUAAUCCUCGUAACGUUACAUAAGUGCAGGACGGUAACUGAGUUGUACCUGCCUGAGACCCCCGGCCGGCCCCCCACCUCAGAGCCUCAGAUUCAGUCGGUGGGAAAUCACAUUGUUGACCUUCUCUUUUAUUUGUUCUGUUGUUGUGCGUUGCUUUUUAACCCCCCCCCCCCCCCCCCUGCACGGGGAGCCAGGAGCUGUUGAUGGGCUGCGCCUCCAAUCUCUGUGUAUAUUGAUGGGACAGGAGAUGGCGAGGGGGGGGGAGGGGGGGCGGGGGUACCGGCUGUGUGUGUGUGUGUGUGUGUGUGUGUGUGAGGGGUGGGGGAGGCGAGGUGCCGGCGGGCGUAAAAAGUCCACUACUAUUUGUCACAGUCGAGUGUGUGCGUGGCUGUCAGUGGCGCCUGCCUGCACGCCGCUGCAAAGGCCUCUGGGAGCCCCGCGUCUCGCUG
ensembl:lncRNA